rnacentral:lncRNA from 1 species
GACGGAGGCCAGCGCGGGGAGCGGAAGCCGGAGCCUGUCGGGAGCGACCCCGGGAAGGCCAGUCCCUCCUGCCGGUGGGAGGCGUGUUGGCGUGCGGCCGGUGGCGGGAUCGAUGGCCACCUGGUAGGCGAUGCUGCUGCGGCGGAGAGACGGAGGCCAGCGCGGGGAGCGGAAGCCGGAGCCUGUCGGGAGCGACCCCGGGAAGGCCAGUCCCUCCUGCCGGUGGGAGGCGUGUUGGCGUGCGGCCGGUGGCGGGAUCGAUGGCCACCUGGUAGGCGAUGGUAAGCGGCAGUGGCCUGCGCCAAGGUAGCCCCCGGGGGCGGU